GAUAAUACCUUACUACUUGGAUAACCGUGGUAAUUCUAGAGCUAAUACAUGCUAAAAAUCCCGACUUCGGAAGGGUUGUAUUUAUUAGAUUAAAAACCAAUGCCCCUCGGGGCUCUCUGGUGAAUCAUGAUAACUAGUCGAAUCGACAGGCCUUGUGCCGGCGAUGGCUCAUUCAAAUUUCUUCCCUAUCAACUUUCGAUGUUUGGGUAUUGGCCAAACAUGGUGGCAACGGGUAACGGAGGGUUAGGGCUCGACCCCGGAGAAGGAGCCUGAGAAACGGCUACUACAUCCAAGGAAGGCAGCAGGCGCGCAAAUUACCCAAUCCCGACACGGGGAGGUAGUGACAAUAAAUACUGAUACAGGGCUCUUUUGGGUCUUGUAAUCGGAAUGAGUACAAUUUAAAUCCCUUAACGAGGAACAAUUGGAGGGCAAGUCUGGUGCCAGCAGCCGCGGUAAUUCCAGCUCCAAUAGCGUAUAUUAAAGUUGUUGUGGUUAAAAAGCUCGUAGUUGAACCUUGGGCCUGGCUGGCCGGUCCGCCUCACCGCGUGCACUGGUCCGGCCGGGCCUUUCCCUCUGCGGAACCCCAUGCCCUUCACUGGGCGUGGCGGGGAAACAGGACUUUUACUUUGAAAAAAUUAGAGUGCUCAAGGCAGGCCUAUGCUCGAAUACAUUAGCAUGGAAUAAUGAAAUAGGACGUUGCGGUUCUAUUUUGUUGGUUUCUAGGACCGCCGUAAUGAUUAAUAGGGACAGUCGGGGGCAUCAGUAUUCAAUUGUCAGAGGUGAAAUUCUUGGAUUUAUUGAAGACUAACUACUGCGAAAGCAUUUGCCAAGGAUGUUUUCAUUAAUCAGGAACGAAAGUUAGGGGAUCGAAGACGAUCAGAUACCGUCGUAGUCUUAACCAUAAACUAUGCCGACUAGGGAUCGGACGAUGUUAUAUUUUUUGACGCGUUCGGCACCUUACGAGAAAUCAAAGUGC
rnacentral:rRNA from 2 species